rnacentral:misc_RNA from 1 species
GAAAUGCGAUAAGUAAUGUGAAUUGCAGAAUUCAGUGAAUCAUCGAAUCUUUGAACGCACCUUGCGCUCCUUGGUAUUCCUUGGAGCAUACCUGUUUGAGUAUCAUGAAAUCUUCAAAGUAAAUCUUUUGUUAACUCAAUUGGUUUCUACUUUGGUAUUGGAGGUCUUUGCAGCUUCACACCUGCUCCUCUUUGUUCAUUAGCUGGAUCUCAGUGUUAUGCUUGGUUCCACUCGGCGUGAUAAGUUAUCUAUCGCUGAGGACACUGUAAAAGGUGGCCAAGGUAAAUCCAGAUGAACCGCUUCUAAUAGUCCAUUGACUUGGACAAUACUUUUAUGAUCUGAUCUCAAAUCAGGUAGGACUACCCGCUGAACUUAAGC